GGUUUAUGGCUCUAAUUUUUUUUCCAUUUUAUUCUAGGAUGCCUGGUUUUGGGGGGGUGUAGUUGUUCAUAGUAAACUCAUGAUUUUUUUAUUUUUGAUGUCAUUUGUAAUAUUUUCUUUUUCAGUUAUAAUUUUGUUGAUUUGGGUCCUAUUUUUAUUUCUUGGUUUAUCUAGGUAAAGAUUUAUUAAUUUCGCUUAUGUUUUCAAAGAAACAACUCUUAGUUUGGUUAGUCUCACCUACUGAUUUUCUGUUUUCUAUCUCAUUUAUUUCUGUUCCAUUCCUUAUUACUCCCUUUCUUCCACUAGCUUUAUACUCACUUUGUACUUCUUUUUCUAGAUCCUUAAGGUGUAGAAUUAGGAUCUUUCUUGCUUCUUAAUGUAGGCACUUAUUGCUAUGCACUUCCCUCUAAGAACCACUUUUGCUGCAUCCUGUAAGUUUUGGUAUUUGUGUUUUCAUUUUUGUUCAUCUCAAGAUACUUUAAUUUAUUCUUUGAUCCAUGGUUACUCAGGAGAAUGUUGUUAAAUUUCCACAUAUUUGUGAAUUUUCCAAUUUUCCUCUUAGUGUUGAUUUCUAAUUUUAUAUACAUAUAUUUUUUGAGAGAGAAAGAGCACACGUGCUGGGGGAAGGGCAGAGGGAGAGAAAGAAUAUUAAGCAGGCUCCACACUCAGCAUGAAGCCCAAUAUGGGGCUCUCGAUGUCAUGAAUGUGAGAUCAUGGCCUGGGGAGAAAUCAAACAUUGGACACUUAACCGACUGAGCCACCCAGCCCUAUGUGUAUCUUUAAGCAUAAAGUCAGUGUCUUAUAAGCAGCAUAUCAUUUAAUAUGAUUUUUAAAAUCCAUUCAGCCAUUCUGUGUCUUUUGAUUAGAUAAUUUAAUAUGUUUAUAUUUAAGGUAAUUAUUGAUAAUAACUUACUAUUGCUGUUGUUUUCUGGUUGUUUUGUAGAUCCAUUGUUCCUUAUUUUUACUCAGGAACUCCCUCUAGCCUUUCUCCAGUGGUGAGAAAAGUCUUCCUAUCACCUCAUUUCUGAAGGACAUCUUUGCAAGGGCUGAUCAUAUUUCAGGACAUAAUUGGACACGAUGGUAGAAGAGUACAAGAGUGGAACUGAGUAAGAGUUGAGAUCCAGAACUCAGUACGUGCUCGGAUGGAGGUGAAGAAUAUUGAGCUUUAUCACAGAUUUAUCCACAUGUGCUUCCAAAGAGAAAGAGACACUGGCACUAAAGCACAGCCACUUGGAAAGUUAUUAUGGCUUUGGUUGCUAAGACAGAAAUAGAGCCUUUGGAGAAAUGAUUGGUUCAAAUCAUUGGGAAUGUAAUUUUCAUCAUUGCAUUCACUAAAAGGCGCACUUAGAGAAAAUGGCCUCCCAGUUUCCAAAAAUACAGUUUCCUUAAAAUGGGAAUAUCUCAGAUCUGAUCUUUGUGGGUAUUAAACCAAUUUACUUAUAAGCAAAAGUUAUACCUUUUGCCCUAAACAAAUUUAAUUCACAGAUUGAGUUAUUUAGCUGAGAUAUACUCCUAUUAGUUUCAUUAAUCUUAUUGACAAUUACACUGUCACCUUAGUUCAUUAGAAAAGUUUAUAGACCUCAAAGGUCUAGGGGCGCCUGGGUAGCUCAGUCGGUUGAGCAUCCGACUUCAGCUCAGGUCAUGAUCUCAUACUCUGUAAGUUCGAGCCCCACGUCGGGCUCUGUGCUGACAGCUCAGAGGCUGGAGCCUGCUUCAGAUUCCCUGUCUCCCCCUCUCUCUGCCCCUCCCUGCUCAUGCUCUGCCUCUCUCUGUCUCAAAGAUAAAUAAAAACAUUUGAAAAAAAAUUUUAAAAGGUCAAUAAAUUAUUUCAACAGUGCAUUUAUCCAGUACUAGCUUAACAUUUCUCAAACAUUUUCACAACUGUCCAGGAGACAAUGAAACUACUUACUUUAAAUGGAAAAUACUUGGUAAAAAAUUUAACAGCCAGUUUCAUAAAGCUUCAAAGUCCUAUGAAAUAAAAUGACAUAUGUGUAAAAAGGUAAGUAAGUAUGAGGAAUAAACUUAGGAAUUCCCUGAGCCUGCACUGAUGGGUUAAUGAGGCAUAAAGAAACUAGCCAUAGGAUGUACACACCCAAGUUUGGGUAAACAAAGUUAGGUAAAUGGGGCAAAGGCCCCCAGUAUAGGACAAAGGUAUAAAAAUAGGGAAUCUCAGGAUGAAAACAUCCAAGAUGAGGUAAACAAGAUUAGGGUGGAAAUGCCCCCAGCUUAGUACAAUAGCAGAAAGCUGCUUUUACAGGAAGGAAGGACCAAAUUAGGUAAACAGGUAAAUAGGGCUAUAGACUGCUGUGGAGUGAAGUUGCCCAGAGAAGAGCUAAUUAGCAAAAGAAAGGUGCCUUGUUGACCCUGAGGUUGCAUGCUCUUUCUCCUUCUCUGUUUACCUAAACUGGUCUAGAGGUGGGGCCUCAUGUUUGCUGUAAACAACCUUCCAACCCUAGCCAGGGUUUUGUUUUGUAUUGACCCAAACCCCUAAUACCACAUAUCUUCAGAACCCCCUUUCCCUUAUGCACAUGAGUUAAUGUUCACGAUUUCAUUGUCUCUUUGUGCACAUCCAUCAGCACAUUUGUAAGCCUUUUGAUCCUAAUACAAAUGGAGCAAGGACCCUUACUCAGGGGUCUUGUCUCCUCCCAGACAUUAGCCUCUCUCACAGUUUUAAUCCUGCAUCCUGCUUUCUUGCUGGACAAGAGAGAACUCCAGACCCAGAGUCUAUGACAAGUAAGGAAACAAAUAAUUCUGGUAUAUAAUAUAACACUUAUCAUCAUGGGUUAUAAGAUCACACACAUUUUAUAUUCUAUUAAAAUAAGAUCACAUUAGAUCAUAAACUUUUAUUUAAAUAAAAUGAGAUCACCAUUUAAUUUUUGAAUACCUUAGUAAUAAUUACUUGAAGUCACUGAAUUUAAGUCGUCCAAUAAUUUCUAUACAGGUAGGAAUGAAUUAUUAUAUUUAAAGACUUGAAGUUAACUUUGACAUUGCAAAAUAGGCGGGAUCAUGUAACAUGAGCUAUAUACUUAACAAACCUUUAAAAAUACAACCACUUUCCUUUAGAGAUCACCAAGAAGUUUUAGUAAACCAUUGCUUUUUUUUUUUUAAGGAGAAAAGCAUAUUGUGGUAUAAUCCUUAAUAAAACAGUUCAGAAUACUUCAGUUCCGAUUAUAAAUGUCUGUACAAGAUUUAGUCUAUUAAUUAUUUGAAGUUGGCAAGUUGUCGUACCCACUCAUUCCUUACAGAGACUGCAUUGCAUGAGUUGGGUUUAGGGAAUUUAUGAAUAGGAUAUUUAUUUGAAUCUGUGCCAUCAUUCCUUGUUACCUUAAUCAAAUUCCAGGCUGGAAAGAUUAUAAAGACACCCCACUGUGGAUGCCCUGGAGCAGAGUUGGAGCAGAUUGGCCAGGAGGACUUGCCAGAAUACUCCAUGCUCAACAUGUCAGUUCAAUUGCUGUGACAAGAACCAGUCCUAUUCAGUUGCUAAUGGAAAGGCAU